rnacentral:rRNA from 1 species
CCGACGGUGAGGGAUGAAAGCUGGGGGAGCAAACCGGAUUAGAUACCCGGGUAGUCCCAGCUGUAAACGAUGCGCGUUAGGUGUGUCAGUGACCACGUGUCACUGAUGUGCCGAAGGGAAACCGUGAAACGCGCCGCCUGGGGAGUACGGUCGCAAGGCUGAAACUUAUAGGAAUUGGCGGGGGAGCACCACAACGGGUGGAGCCUGCGGUUUAAUCGGACUCAACGCCGGAAAUCUCACCGGAUAA